rnacentral:rRNA from 1 species
UACGUAGGGUGCAAGCGCUACUCGGAAUUACUGGGCGUAAAGCGUGCGUAGGUGGUUCGUUAAGUCUGUCGUGAAAGCCCCGGGCUCAACCUGGGAAUGGCGAUGGAUACUGGCGGGCUAGAGUGCGGUAGAGGGUGGUGGAAUUCCCGGUGUAGCAGUGAAAUGCGUAGAGAUCGGGAGGAACAUCAGUUGCGAAGGCGGCCACCUGGACCAGCACUGACACUGAGGCACGAAAGCGUGGGGAGCAAACAGG